ensembl:snRNA RNU6-1265P RNA, U6 small nuclear 1265, pseudogene
GCUAGCUUCGGCAGUACAUAUUAAAAUGAGAAUGGUACAGAGAAGACUAGCACAGCCCCCGUGUAAGAAUGUUACACCAAUUCGUGAAGCGUCCCAUGUUUUG